UCUGGAAGCAAUGGAGAAGGCAGCUGGAACAGUAGUGAUUGGGGCUUGGCGAGUAGAAGAUGAAUCUGAGCUUAGGUUUUAGCGCGUGCGCCGUGGCGGCGGAUUAGGGUUGUGGAGGGGAUGAUGGUGAGCGAGCACGGUGGCGGCGCCUGUGAAAGAGAAUGAGAUGGUGAGAGAGAUAGAGAGAUCGACGAUACUGAACGUAAUGUGAAUGUCAUGAUCUUAACCUACCGACGACUUUGAGAGAAACGGCGGAGCAACCGCGGCGACGGCGAGGAUGAACGGCGCCGGAAGAGCGAGAAACGCGUAGGGUUUGCAAUUAGGGGAAAAUGAUAAGAAGAAAAAUCACGGCUGACCUUUAGAUUUGAA
rnacentral:lncRNA from 1 species